AAUGUUUUUAUGCCUAAAUCUUAAAUAGAAUGGGGAAUGCAUCAGCAACCCCCACACCCCCCUCCAGAUCAGCCAUGGAUGCCACCAACACCAGGCCCAAUGGACAUUGUUCCUCCUUCUGAAGACAGCAACAGUCAGGACAGUGGGGAAUUUGCCCCUGACAACAGGCAUAUAUUUAACCAGAACAAUCACAACUUUGGUGGACCACCCGAUAAUUUUGCAGUGGGGCCAGUGAACCAGUUUGACUAUCAGGUGAAAGAUAUUUUGUUGCUUUAAUAUUGUAGAUGUGCACGUAAUCCAUUCUUUGGAAGUGUCUCAUCAAGAAUACCUAAGAUACGUGUUUCACUUUUCAGACUUGUAUAAAUAAGCACAUUCUGUCUCAGUUAUCAAUUUUUGAGUAUUAAAAUAAUUAGAAUUUGUUUUCUGAUUUUUUUAUUUCAUUAGGAAAAUGGUAUAAAAGAUCAUUACGGAAAACUUUUGAAAAAAUUAAAAAUGUAUAAGUGCAAUAGCUAUAUGAUGUUUUAUUUUCUAAUUUAUAUUUCAAAAUGGUAUAUUUAAAUGUUAAAGACUAGAGAAUGCACAGUAAUUGAAUAUAGCUCAUGGUUAAGACAUGAAUAAAAAAUAUAGAUCAUUUUCCUAAGUGUAAUUCCUUGUGCUAUGUAGAAUUAUGACUGUUUUUCUAGUGUCAUUUUUUUUCCAUUCUGACAUGACAUGUUAAUGGAAUUGUAUAUAAUUUCCUCUGUAGCAUCCAAUUCAUUCCUAGGGACAUAGAACUCUGUGGGGAAUAGUGUUGUAUGUUGGGCUUUAUUUACUUCAUUCCCUCUGCCAGGGUCUACCCUUAAAUUAUAGUGCUAGGUGUCAUUUUGAAAUAACUGAUUGCAAUUAUUAACUUAUAAACUGCUAUCAUAAUUUAAAAUUUUGAAAGAAUUAUUUCAUGAAUUCUAGGGUAGAUUUGAUAAUGGACAUCUAGUAUUCACCUUGAGAUGGUAAUCCUCUCAUUAAUAAAUAUUCAGAUACUUGUAUACUUGGUAUACAGAUACAACAGUUUUUAUGUUGUUUGAAGAAAUAUAAUGGCAGGGAGCAUCUGCUUACCCUACUUUUGCAUGGUAGAUCCCAUGUAAACAAGACAAAGAGCUGUAUUGGCAGCUGGCCUAGAAAAGCCUCUGAAAAUAGCAAAAUUGCAGAAAAUAUUUAAUGAUUCAUUAACUUCUAUCUUUGCUUAUAAAUGAAUAUAUCUGCAAGAUUAUAGAAACAGCUUAAGUUGUUUAGUUCACUUUUUGUUCACUGUAAGUAGGAUGUUGAAAUUGACAAAAAUGUCUAGUUAAAGAGAAAUUAGUAUCUAUUUGAUGUCUUAGUGUUGGUAGGAUUAGCUUGUAAAUGGAUUCAGAAUGAAAAAUUUCAUAUACUUCUUGAAAGUAGCUUAUCAGCUGGCUUUUAGAAGCCUCUUUGCAUUUACAUAGCCGGAAAAUCUUAAGACAAGUAAGCCUAGGUUCUUGGGACCAUAGAAGUAUCGGUGGAUAUUAGAGCCAUGGAAUUCUUGGAUGUGCUGCACACAUGGAUUUCUACUGUCCCAGUUCAUAACACACGUGUGUCCCAGAGAGUAUAUUGUAUUAAUUUGAAGAAAAAAUAAACUGCAAUACUCUUUCAGCAUGGGGCUGCUUUUGGUCCACCGCAAGGUGGAUUUCAUCCUCCUUAUUGGCAACCAGGACCUCCAGGACCUCCAGCACCUCCCCAGAAUCGAAGAGAAAGGCCAUCAUCAUUCAGGGAUCGUCAGCGUUCACCUAUUGCACUUCCUGUGAAGCAGGAGCCUCCACAAAUUGACGCAGUAAAACGCAGGACUCUUCCCGCUUGGAUUCGCGAAGGUCUUGAAAAAAUGGAACGUGAAAAGCAGAAGAAAUUGGAGAAAGAAAGAAUGGAACAACAACGUUCACAAUUGUCC
rnacentral:lncRNA from 1 species